CAUCUGUUCGCGCGACGAGUAAUAAUACUGCGAAUACUCGUGUUUCUCGUAGUAUUCGAUAUAUCGCGUUAUAUUUUUAUUGAAUUUAGUAUUAAUUAUCGUAUUUGGUAAUUCGUUAAAUAUUUAUAGCGUGUGUAAUCUCCGGAAUUCAGUAUUUUGUGUGUUUAUUAUCUUACCGCGUGUGUUCGUGAUCGGUUGACGUCGGACGCCGGCCGGCCAUGUGUGAUUGUAAAUAAAAUUGUAGUUAAUUUCGGACUUGUGUGAAUCAUUAUUGUCUUCAGCAGAACUUGUCGAGGCAAUGUGCUACCUGUAUCUACUCACAUUUGAUUUGCGGUGUUCGAUACACAGUACUUGCUGUGACUAG